rnacentral:rRNA from 1 species
CGGGUGAGUAACGUGUGGGCAACCUGCCUUAUACUGGGGAAUAAUCACUGGAAACGGUGACUAAUACCGCAUAAUGUCUUUUCACGGCAUCGUGGAAAGAAAGAAAAGGAAGCAAAUCCGGUAAAAAGAUGGGCCCGCAUCUGAUUAGCUAGUUGGUGAGAUAACAGCCCACCAAGGCGACGAUCAGUAGCCGACCUGAGAGGGUGAUCGGCCACAUUGGGACUGAGACACGGCCCAA